GCCAGCCUCCCUCAGCCUCCUGGGCCAUGUUUUAUGCAUGAAGGUGCUGGGGCGGUGUCGCCAGGCUCCUGUGUCAGCUGGGCAGGCGUCAGAGGAGCCACAUAAUGGCUGGGGGAGGGCAGGUGUGCAGGCACCGCCUGCCAUGGGCACCUCCUCUGUGGGCAGGAAGGGAGGGCAGCCAGGGUACCAAGAGCUCAAGCAGGACCACUGGGACCCCGGAGGACCACCAGAUUCAGAAACUCCUGGGUCUCCAGGGCCUAGAACAGUGCCUUGCACUCAGCAGACAACAUGAUGACUUACACAGAAAAUCUGAAAAAGCUGACAGAAAAACUAAAACUAAUAAGUGACUGUGGCAGAGAUGCAGAACACAAGGUUGACGCACGAGGGUCAGUUGCUUCCUUCUGUGCCAGCAAUGAAUGAGUGGAAACUAAUACUGAAAACACAACACCAUUCAAAAAACAAGAGCAGAAGAGAGCAUUUAUGUCUGCCUACUGGGAGACCAGUGGGGAUACGAAAUACGGACUUCCAAAAUGAUCAUUUUUCAAAGGAAAGCAAAGGACAGUGGCUGUUAUUUAAAAAGAAGGAAAAAAAAAAAAAGAACACAAACAAAGGCUCUCCUGGUAUGUGACUUCAUCUUUGCUGCUCUGGGCCACAUGUUCCCUGUCACCUACCCCCUACCUACUGGAAGAAAAUCUUUCUAUUUUUUCAUUGAUAUGAUUAUCCCCAGCCGUUGUCUGCUUAUAUAAAGACAUAAAUACAGAUAUAUAUUUACAAGGAUGUAAUUAUUCUGCUAACACUUCUCUGCAAACUUUUAUUUAACCAUAUUUUUUAUUGUAAAGAGGAUAAAACAGAAUAAAACCAAUAAAAAAUAAACCAGUAUAAGUGAUACAGGACUUCAAAAUCUUACAAAACCAACAACAGUUACUGUAAUGCCUUUUGUUGCCUUCAAAAUAGCUGCAGAUACAUUCAAACAUAGUAAAAAUUUGAAUGGAAUAGAAUAGAAUAGAAACAAUAAAGCCGAAACAGUGAAUGCAAUAAAGGACUUCUAAGCAAGCCACAGAUAAACCCAAAAUGGCUACCAUACUAUGUCUUGUUAUCUUUUCAAACAGCUGCUCCUGCCAUCAGAUUUAACAUAAUCAAACAAACAAAAAAAAAAGAGAAUAAAACCCAACCCAAC